AAUACAUCGGAACGUGCCUAGUAGUGGGGGAUAACUACUCGAAAGAGUGGCUAAUACGCAUGAGAUCUACGGAUGAAAGCAGGGGAUCGCAAGACCUUGUGCUACUAGAGCGGCCGAUGGCAGAUUAGGUAGUUGGUGGGAUAAAAGCUUACCAAGCCGACGAUCUGUAGCUGGUCUGAGAGGACGAUCAGCCACACUGGGACUGAGACACGGCCCAGACUCCUACGGGAGGCAGCAGUGGGGAAUUUUGGACAAUGGGCGCAAGCCUGAUCCAGCAAUGCCGCGUGCAGGAUGAAGGCCUUCGGGUUGUAAACUGCUUUUGUACGGAACGAAAAGCCCUGGGUUAAUACCCUGGGGUCAUGACGGUACCGUAAGAAUAAGCACCGGCUAACUACGUGCCAGCAGCCGCGGUAAUACGUAGGGUGCGAGCGUUAAUCGGAAUUACUGGGCGUAAAGCGUGCGCAGGCGGUUUUGUAAGACAGAGGUGAAAUCCCCGGGCUCAACCUGGGAACUGCCUUUGUGACUGCAAGGCUAGAGUACGGCAGAGGGGGAUGGAAUUCCGCGUGUAGCAGUGAAAUGCGUAGAUAUGCGGAGG
rnacentral:rRNA from 1 species